AUGAACGCUAGCGGCAGGCCUAACACAUGCAAGUCGAGGGAGGAGCUUUCGGGCUUCGACCGGCGUACGGGUGCGUAACGCGUAUACAAUCUGCCUUUCACAUAGGGAUAGCCCGAAGAAAUUUGGAUUAAUACCUAAUGGUAUAUAGGAGUGGCAUCACAUUUAUAUUAAAGCUGAGGCGGUGAAAGAUGAGUAUGCGUUCUAUUAGCUAGUUGGAGAGGUAACGGCUCCCCAAGGCGACGAUAGAUAGGGGUUCUGAGAGGGAUAUCCCCCACACUGGUACUGAGAUACGGACCAGACUCCUACGGGAGGCAGCAGUGAGGAAUAUUGGACAAUGGUCGGAAGACUGAUCCAGCCAUGCCGCGUGCAGGAAGACGGCCUUAUGGGUUGUAAACUGCUUUUGCAGGGGAAGAAUAAGGACUACGAGUAGUUUGAUGACGGUACUCUGCGAAUAAGCAGCGGCUAACUCCGUGC
rnacentral:rRNA from 1 species